rnacentral:tRNA from 1 species
GGGGAUGUAGCUCAGUUGUAGAGUGCUUACCUUGCAUGCACAAGGCCUUGGGUUUGAUUCUCAACACCACCA